UCCCUGAUGGCUCAGAUGGUAAAACGCCUGCCUGCAAUGCGGGAGAUCCGGGUUUGAUUCCUGGGUCGGGAA
rnacentral:tRNA from 1 species